rnacentral:rRNA from 1 species
CCUAAAAGGUGACGGAGAGGUGUAGUGCACGCGUACUGACGGAAUAGUACGUUGAACCAUUCGGGAGGAUGGGAUAGUACACUGAGUCCACUGGACGAGGUGAUAGUUGCAUGAAGCCGCUUCCAAGGAAAGCCGAAUUAUAACAGCCCGUACCGUAAACCGACACAGGUGGUCGAGUCGAGUAGACUAAGGCGCUCGAGUGAUUCACGGCUAAGGAAUUCGGCAAAAUGGUCUCGUAACUUCGGGAGAAGAGACCCCCGCGCAAGUGGGGCGCAGUGAAUAGGUCCAGGCGACUGUUUAGCAAAAACACAGGACUCUGCGAAAUCGAAAGAUGAAGUAUAGGGUCUGACACCUGCCCGGUGCCGGAAGGUUAAGGAAGGGGGUUAGUCGCAAGGCGAAGCUCUUGACUGAAGCCCCGGUAAACGGCGGCCGUAACGAUAACGGUCCUAAGGUAGCGAAAUUCCUUGUCGGGUAAGUUCCGACCUGCACGAAUGGUGUAACGAUCUGGACGCUGUCUCGGCCGUGAGCUCGGUGAAAUUGAAGUAUCGGUGAAGAUGCCGAUUACCCGCAACGGGACGAAAAGACCCCGUGAACCUUUACUAUAGCUUCACAUUGUGUUUGAGUAUAGGAUGUGUAGGAUAGGUGGGAGGCUAUGAAGCUGGCACGCUAGUGUUGGUGGAGCCGCCGUUGAAAUACCACCCUUUCUAUACUUAGAUUCUAACUUUCGAAAGAGAGGACAGUGUGUGGUGGGUAGUUUGACUGGGGUGGUCGCCUCCUAAAGAGUAACGGAGGCUUGCAAAGGUAUCCUCAGCAUGGACGGUAACCAUGCGAAGAGCGUAUUAGUAAAAGGGUGCUUGACUGAGAGAACGACGGUUCGAACAGGGACGAAAGUCGGCUAAAGUGAUCCGGUGUUUCCGCAUGGAAGGGACAUCGCUCAAAGGAUAAAAGGUACUCCGGGGAUAACAGGCUGAUCUCCCCCAAGAGCUCACAUCGACGGGGAGGUUUGGCACCUCGAUGUCGGCUCGUCACAUCCUGGGGCUGGAGAAGGUCCCAAGGGUUGGGCUGUUCGCCCAUUAAAGUGGCACGCGAGCUGGGUUCAGAACGUCGCAAGACAGUUCGGUCUCUAUCUGUUGUGGGCGUAGGAGUAUUGAGGAGGUCUGACUCUAGUACGAGAGGACCGGGUUGGACGCACCUCUGGUGUACCAGCUGUGCUGCCAGGUGCAGUGCUGGGUAGCUAUGUGCGGUCAGGAUAAGCGCUGAAAGCAUCUAAGCGCGAAGCCGUCUCCAAGAUGAGUACUCCAUUGAGGGUCGUGGAAGAUGACCACGUUGAUAGGCUACAGGUGUAAGUGCAGUAAUGUAUUGAGCCGAGUAGUACUAAUUACCCGACAGCUUCCAU